AUGCUCAAAAUCCUCCAAGCCAGGCUUCAGCAAUACAUGAACUGUGAACUUCCAGAUGUUCAAGCUGGUUUUAGAAAAGGCAGAGGAACCAGAGAUCAAAUUGUCAACAUUCACUGGAUCAUCAAAAAAGCAAGAGAGUUCCAGAAAAACAUCUAUUUCUGCUUUAUUGACUAUGCCAAAGCCUUUGACUGUGUGGAUCACAAGAAACUGUGGAAAAUUCUGAAAGAGAUGGGAAUGCCAGACCACCUGACCUGCCUCUUGAGAAACCUAUAUGCAGGUCAGGAAGCAACAGUCAGAACUGGACAUGGAACAACAGACUGGUUCCAAAUAGGAAAAGGAGUCCAUCAAGGCUGUAUAUUGUCACCCUGCUUAUUUAACUUAUAUGCAGAGUACAUCAUGAGAAACGCUGGGCUAGAAGAAGCACAAGCUGGAAACAAGAUUGCCAGGAGAAAUAUCAAUAACCUCAGAUAUGCAGAUGACACCACCCUUAUGGCAGAAAGUGAAGAGGAACUAAAAAGCCUCUUGAUGAAGGUGAAAGAGGAGAGUGAAAAAGUUGGCUUAAAGCUCAACUUUCAGAAAACGAAGAUCAUGGCAUCUAGUCCCAUCAUUUCAUGGCAAACAGAUGGGGAAACAGUGGAAACAUUGUCAGACUUUAUUUUGGGGGGCUCCAAAAUCACUGCAGAUAGUGACUGCAGCCAUGAAAUUAAAAGACGCUUACUCCUUGGAAGGAAAGUUAUGACCAACCUAGAUAGCAUAUUGAAAAGCAGAGGCGUUACUUUGCCAACAAAGGUCCAUCUAGUCAAGGCUACGGUUUUUCCAGUGGUCAUGUAUGGAUGUGAGAGUUGGAUUGUGAAGAAAGCUGAGCACCGAAGAAUUGAUGCUUUUGAUCUGUGGUGUUGGAGAAGACUCUUGAGAGUCCCUUGGACUGCAAGGAGAUCCAACCAGUCCAUUCUAAUGGAGAUCAGCCCUGGGUGUUCUUUGGAAGGAAUGAUGCUAAAGCUGAAACUCCAGUACUUUCGCCACCUCAUGCAAAGAGUUGACUCUGGAAAAGACUGA
rnacentral:lncRNA from 1 species